GAAAUGUCUGCAUUUCCCUCCAUUACCACGAUCAUUUUCCCGGCCUGUUUUUCUCUUUUUUUCGUUCUUUCUUUUUAAAAUCAGAACCACUAAGCACCUAGAGCCGCCGCGACCAGCAGGCCAGUGGAGUCUUCCUUCUCUCCAACUACGGGUACCUUUCCACGCCAUGGACUUCAAGGUUUCACUCGCCAUUUCGUUCCUUUCUCCCUCGCUCGGUUUUGGGGGGGGUUAAGGGUACAAAGAGGCUGAACCCCCGAACAGAAAAACCGAGGUCUCUUUGGGGUUUAUUAUGCAGGAGAAAGGGGGGGAUUUUUUUUUCUUCAUAGUGAAAAAUUACUAGAAGCCGUAGUUGGUUUUAAGGAAAAGUUGACUCAACCAGAUCGGAAGAGGGAAGGACAAUGAGAAAACGAAUAAAAGCCUUCGGUGCACCGCUGGGGGGGGCGGACCCGGAGGAUCGGGCUCCCCUCCGGACUCGGGGCCCGGGCCGCCCCCCCCCCGCACCCACAUCCGCAGGGAGAGGGACUUUCGAACGAGCGAAGGGAAACCUCUCGGAAACUUGAGCGCGAGUUCCUUCACCCACGGCCGACCAGAGGACAAAGGGACUGAUACAAAAUAUAAGAAAGCCCUGGUCAUGGAGAAUUCAAGUUUACAGCAUGAUUCUACCAACCAUGUCCAGCACCUUUUUCAUUACAACCCAGCUCUACCAUCUCCACUGUUGGACCAUCCUGUCCAUGGGAAGUGAAUGACAGCACCAGUAGAUGGAAACCUUUACGGCAUUAGAGUAAUCUAAAAUCCUGGCUGCAAGUCCUUCCACACUCACUGUGGGCCCACACAAGUUUCCCCUGGAGUCUGGUGGGCCAUGACCACAUCAACUCAACGCCAGAGGUGGCUCCGUGUGACUUUCCUAGGCUCGGUCAGAAGACGGCUGCCUGCUGCUACUUUGCUUUCUGGAAGCACCCUCAGGAAACUCCUCUAGAACCCGGCCGCAUGGAAAAGACAUGUGGAAAAGCCCCAGUGGACAGUCCCAGGCAAGCACAGCCUGGAGUCGGCCUUGCCCCAGUGGCCCAUGUGUGAGCAAAGAGCCUCAGGUAAUUCCAGCCCUCAGCCAUUCCAGUCACCCAGACAAGCUGUCCUGCCACCCGCUGUCCAAAUUCCUCAGCCACCGAGUCCAGGGACAGGAGGGAAGGCCUGUUUCACACCACUGAGCGUUGCAGUAGAGAACUGAAACUAACACUUUCUAAAUAUGGAUUUUCUGCUUUAUCCUGAGCAUUCUCCAUAAUGAAGCUGCUCAUUUUGGAGGCAAUUUCCAUGACUGGGGGCGGGAGAGAUUAAUUUGACAUAUUUCUGUACCACAGACCACAGUAAGAAGCUUGAUAAUGGGACAGAAAUUGCCCAUCUGAAUCAUGGGGUGCAUGAGGUACAUCAAGUCACAGGCCAGGAGCUCUGACUGUGUUGCUUUUAAGAGGAAUCAACAAACGCAAAAGAACUUGAUAAAUACUUCCCAUAACAAAACACAAUUGGUUGCAAUGGGAUCCGGCGCUGUUCCUCAUUAGUUACCCUUCACUAGGCAGACAAGCUCCAUAUCUCACCGAAAUCCAUCGUGGAUUCUUUCUAGUUUGUUGGGAAAUGUGACUAUACAUUUCCUUUAUAUUGCCUGCUUUCUUGAGUCUGCUUUUAAAUCUAGAGUACAUGCUUAGCUCCCUCUUCCCACAGGAAAAGGAGCUUCAGCUUUCAAAGAAGGGGUAAAAGCAGGUACCAGGCAGCUGCCUUUGAAGUGGCUCGGUGGUGGAGCAGGUGGAGGGGCCAGGCGGCCAUUAUCAGUGGCUACCUGGUGCCAGGGGAUCACGUUAGGCGAUAAAACACUUGGCUGACACCAGAAAAAAA